UCCCUCAUGGCUCAGAUGGUAAAAGCAUCUGCAUGCAAUGCAGGAGACCCGGGUUCGAUCCCUGGGUGGGGAA
rnacentral:tRNA from 1 species